UUAAAAAGCUCGUAGUUGGAUUUCUGUGGGGACGGAGCGGCCGGCCGCUACUAGCGGUUCGAGCUAGCGCUUUCCCUACAUCCUGCCGCGAACCGCGCUACCAUUAGUUUGGUGGCGCCGGGGAUCGGCUCGUUUACUUUGAGAAAAAUAGAGUGUUCAAAGCAGGCCACACGCCUUGAAUAAGUUAGCAUGGAACAAUAACUAAGGACUUC
rnacentral:rRNA from 1 species